AGGAUGAACGCUGGCGGUCUGCUUAACACAUGCAAGUCGAACGGAGUAGCAAUACUUAGUGGCGGACGGGUGAGUAACGCGUGAGAAUCUACCUUCAGGACGGAGACAACAGUUGGAAACGACUGCUAACCCCCGAUGUACUGAAAAGGCAAAUAUUUAUAGCCUGAAGAAGAGCUCGCGUCCGAUUAGCUAGUUGGAGAGGUAAAAGCUCACCAAGGCGACGAUCGGUAGCUGGUCUGAGAGGACGAUCAGCCACACUGGGACUGAGACACGGCCCAGACUCCUACGGGAGGCAGCAGUGGGGAAUUUUCCGCAAUGGGCGAAAGCCUGACGGAGCAAGACCGCGUGGGGGAUGAAAUCCCUUGGGAUGUAAACUCCUUUCGAUCGGGAAGAUAAUGACGGUACCGAGAGAAGAAGCCCCGGCUAACUUCGUGCCAGCAGCCGC
rnacentral:rRNA from 1 species